GCAAACAGAUUUUAACAAUACUAUAUAUAUAUUCAAAAUAAUUACACAUUAAUUAAAGGUAAACGGGCAAGAAGCUACGCUACUAGUCCUUUCUGAAUGACAUAGACAAUCCUUUUGAAAAUUACACCCAUAGACCUAGGAGAGACAACAUUGUUAACAUCUGAUUGAAUAUUCAGAAGUAAAAUGCUCAUAUAAUUCCAAAGUCACAACACCGAUGAUUUUUUAAGAGAACCGUGAAACAAAUAGAUUGUUAUUGAAUAUCGGAAUAUUUCAUAAAUGGUAUAGUGGUGGCUUUACAAUGCAUUUUGUUAAUGAAUUUCUCGUAGAAUAAAGAAAUAGACACAUGAAUCACCAACUCAAUCUGCAAACAAUUCUGUGUUUGUAGCCGUCAGAUGUCAAUCGCGAAUACCCUUUCUCUGUCUAAUCGUGUACUAUUACAUGAAUUCUUCAACAAGAGGCUGAUAGAACAACUUGUAUGCCUCCAUAACUUCAAGAUACCACAUUGCUUCUCGAUCG
rnacentral:lncRNA from 1 species